GACGUAGGGGCCGAGCGUUGUCCGGAGUUACUGGGCGUAAAGCGCGCGCAGGCGGUCCGCCACAUCGUCGGUGAAAGCCCCCCGCUCACCGGGGGAGGGUCCGGCGAGAUGGGCGGACUGGAGGCAGGGAGAGGCCAGUGGAAUUCCGGGUGUAGUGGUGAAAUGCGUAGAGAUCCGGAGGAACACCGGUGGCGAAGGCGGCUGGCUGGACCUGUCCUGACGCUGAGGCGCGAAGGCGUGGGGAGCGAACGGG
rnacentral:rRNA from 1 species